rnacentral:rRNA from 1 species
AAACUUUCAACAACGGAUCUCUUGGUUCUCGCAACGAUGAAGAACGCAGCGAAAUGCGAUACGUAUUGUGAAUUGCAGAUUUUCGUGAAUCAUCGAAUCUUUGAACGCACAUUGCACCCUCUGGUAUUCCAGAGGGUAUGCCUGUUUGAGCGUCAUUUC